UACGUAGGUGACAAGCGUUGUCCGGAGUUACUGGGCGUAAAGAGCGCGCAGGCGGUCGAUCAAGUCGAGUGUGAAAGCCCCCGGCUCAACUGGGGAAGGUCAUUCGAUACUGAUCGACUCGAAGGCAGGAGAGGGUAGUGGAAUUCCCGGUGUAGUGGUGAAAUGCGUAGAUAUCGGGAGGAACACCAGUGGCGAAGGCGACUACCUGGCCUGUUCUUGACGCUGAGGCGCGAAAGCUAGGGGAGCAAACGGG
rnacentral:rRNA from 1 species